AAUAUCAAUGACAACAGUGAAUUGUUAAGCCAUCAUUCGGAUACUUAUUCCAUAUCAGACGACGAUGAAUUUGAAGGUGCCGCGGCAAAAGCAGGCCUUACGAGCACCACCAAAGAGACUGAAGACGCCAUCCAAAAUUGGAUUAGAAGAGCGUCUGAUAGACAAAAUACAAAAAAUAAAUAUAAAUACACUAAUAAAUAAAAAUAUGAAAUA